rnacentral:snRNA from 1 species
GAUAACAUGUUUAAUUCAGUUCU